rnacentral:piRNA from 1 species
GGUCUUGACCAGUCAGGAUGCUGAUGG